rnacentral:tRNA from 1 species
AUUUAUAUAGUUUAAUAAAAACCUUACAUUUUCAUUGUAAAAAUAAAAAUAUAUUUUUUAUAAAUA